rnacentral:rRNA from 1 species
GACGAACGCUGGCGGCGUGCUUAACACAUGCAAGUCGAACGGAAAGGCCCUGCUUUUGUGGGGUGCUCGAGUGGCGAACGGGUGAGUAACACGUGAGUAACCUGCCCUUGACUUUGGGAUAACUUCAGGAAACUGGGGCUACUACCGGAUAGGAUCUCCUGCUGCAUGGUGGGGGGUGGAAAGUUUCGGCGGGUGGGGAUGGACUCGCGGCUUAUCAGCUUGUUGGUGGGGUAGUGGCUUACCAAGGCUUUGACGGGUAGCCGGCCUGAGAGGGUGACCGGCCACAUUGGGACUGAGAGACGGCCCAGACUCCUACGGGAGGCAGCAGUGGGGAAUAUUGCACAAUGGGCGGAAGCCUGAUGCAGCAACGCCGCGUGCGGGAUGACGGCCUUCGGGUUGUAAACCGCUUUCGCCUGUGACGAAGCGUGAGUGACGGUAAUGGGUAAAGAAGCACCGGCUAACUACGUG